AGAGAGCAAAUUAGAAUCCAAGGAAGUUGACAUGUCAUCACUUCAUUUUUUUGCGCCUGCGCAUAAAUCUGAGAAACGUGAGUUUUGUCUUCAUUGUUUAUCUAGACAUAGGAUAGGUUGUGUGAAAAUAUUACUGAUGUUUAACGUUAAAAAUGGACCAAAAGAUUAAUGCUAAACAACAUUUGACAUGUUUGAACGAACAUAAAUAGAUUAUUUACUAGGUUUUUUUAGCUUUUCGGCGUGAUUUUACAGUCCCCCCACCACGUUUUGUGGGAGCAUAAUGAACGCUAAGUACUUGGUGUUAUUUGGACAUAAAUUAUGAACUUUGUCAAAAGAAACCACAUUUGUUCCGGACCUGGGAUGCCUUCCGGACCUGGGAUGCCUGCCUUCUGAUGGAGAUAAUCAAAGAUCUAUCCAUUACCUUCGACACCGUGAACCAUCAGAUCCUCCUUUACACCCUCUCAGGGCUGGGCAUCUGAGGCUCUGCACACUCUUGGAUUGCAUCCUACCUGGCAGACGGCUCCUACCAGGUGACGUGGCGAGGAUCUGUGUCUGCACCACGUACUCUCACUACUGGUGUCCCCCAAGGCUCAGUUCUAGGCCCUCUUCUCUCUACACACCAAGUCAUUCGGCUCCAUCAUAUCCUCACAUGUUCUCUCCUAACAUUGCUAUGCGGAUGACACUCAACUCAACCUCGACAAGACGGAGCUGCUCUUCCUCCAGGGAAAGCCUGCCCGCUCCAAAACCCUACACCCUAACCCGAGUACUCCGUUCUGCCACCUCAGGUCUCUUGGCUCUCCCACCCCAAGCUUUUCUCUGUCCUGGUACUCCAAUGGUGGAACCAGCUUCCCCCUGAAGCUAGGACAGCAGAGUCGCUGCCCAUCUUCCGAAAGCACCUGAAAAUCCUUACCUUUUCAAAGAGUAUAUUAAAUAUACCCCCCCCCCCCCACACCCCAAAACAAAUUCCUGAACCAACACUUGCACUUGAUUUAAUCCCCCUCCUCGCUUUGUAGUGAUGACUUUGCUGAUAGCUACUUUAUUACGGAAAAGUAUACUUACUAUGCCUGUGAUAUCUGGUUGUCCCACCUAGCUAUCUUAAAAUGAAUGCACUAUCUAGAUAAGAGUGUCUACUAAAUGACUAAAAUAUAAUAUAAAAUGGGUGUGAAUACUUAUGUAAAUGAGAUAUUUCUGUAUUUCAUUUUCAAUAAAUUAGCAUGUUUUCACUUUGUCAGGGUAUUGUGUCAAGAUGAGUGAGAUUUAAAAAAAAAAUGAUUCAGGCUGUAACACAACAAAAUGUGGAAUAACUCAAGGGGUAUGAAUACUUUCUGAAAGCACUGUAUAUAUUAAUGUGGAUGAUUCAUUUUGAGCCCAGGAAUAGGUCAACUGGGCUAAACUGCAUUGUGAAUAAUUUAAGAUUCUAUUAACAUUUAAAGUUGACAUUGAUUUGACACAGUCAGGCCUCAGUGAUAUGAUAAGGUGCAGGGAGGGAACAGAAAGCUGUGCUAUGAUAAUUGCCCAGAUGGCUUUUGUUUGUUUAAUGUCAUCUUUCUCAGGUCUGUUAUUGUACUCGUCAAGAGUGGAUAUCGGAUAAGUGUUCUUGGUCUGCAAGCUAUUGAGGUUCACAUUUAAGCAACUAGCGUUGCUUAGUGACAGGAGAUCACAGAUCAAUAGCCCCGGGCCAUCUCCUCCUGACCAUCAUGACCUGGGAGAUAAGGAGCACAGGCCAUGUGACCUCCUUGCCUUUAAAGAUCUGUUUACACAAAGACAAACACUAGAACAAGACCUUUGAAUAAGACGCCUGCCAUUUGCAUUCGGGUCAUCUGAAUUUAAAGUUUACAUUUACUGGACAGCUUGCGUAUUCUUCCUUUUAAACUAUACAAUGAAAUGACCAAGCCUUUGUAGUUGGAUGAAUAUAUAGAAAAGCUAAAUGUCUUCCAUAUAAUUUGUAAGCAUAUUUGGCAUAUUUCAGUGAAUAGGAAAAGUAAACUUAAAUAGCAUCCAAGCCAUUGUAAGUACAAUUACAAAUUUGACAAAAGCUUCUUGGAUUAAGGACAACCAUUUCACUUAUUGUUGGACCUUCACCUUGGAAUGUAAUAAAAUGCAACUCUGCAAAACAGCAGGGAGUCUAGCAGGAGGAGACUUAUUGUAAUGCCCUCUGAGGUCUAAUACCAGGUGGCAUUCUGCUUCUUCAGCGCUGUGCCGGAGGACACAGGCUCAGGUAGCAGGUUAUACCUUAGAGCCGGCAUCCUGCUGUCUGGUUUACCCAGGUGAAAGAAAAAGGGAAACAUUGUUGAGGAACAAACAGGAAUAUGUAACUACUUAUUAUAACUAGAACACACUGUGUUCAUGAAAUGACUGCAUGAAUAAAUAAAGAGAAUAGCAUUGUUUUAUCAAAUGUCUUGCUGCCCCAUUGUCUGCAGAAACAAGGCUAAUGCUACUUGAUCCAGGAUGGAUCUCUCACAAAAGAUAAACUUCAGUCUGCAAUCUCAGGUUCUAGCUACAUCUGGGGCUGGAUAACAGAAACUGCAACAUGACAAAAUGUGUAGAAUGGCAUUAUAAAACAGAAUAUUUUUCUCUCUGCUCCAUGGCAAAAUGUGUUGAAAUGCAGUAAAUUCCUUUUUUUUUUCAUCCAAAAAUAAAUCCAUGGUGCCCCAAAUGCGGUAGUCUGUCCUUGGCUACAUCAUUCCUUUUAUUCCAUUAAACACUCAAGCCACUUUCUUCACUCAGCAGCAGUGUGCACUAAUGACACAAUCCAAGGCAGAAUCACUGCAUAAAUACCACUAACCACCAUCCAUACUUCUCCUCCAUCUACAUGCUAAUUACUUUGCUAGCCUGAGAUCUCUGCCAUCUAUUCCUCUGACAAGUUUUAAUAAGCACCUCCAUGCACUCAGAUGUCAUUAGUACGGGAC
rnacentral:lncRNA from 1 species